GACGAACGCUGGCGGCGUGCCUAAUACAUGCAAGUAGAACGCAGUUGCGAACGGGUGAGUAACGCGUAGGUAACUGCCUCAUAGCGGGGGAUAAUACUGGGAAACGAUAGUUAAUACCGCUUACUGUGAGAUGGCCCUUCUUUGUAUUAGUUAGUUGGGGGGGUAAAGGCGCACCAAGGCGACGAUACAUAGCCGGCCUGGGAGGGUUAACGGCCACACUGGGACUGAGACACGGCCCAGACGCCUACGGGAGGCAGCAGUAGGGAAUCUUCGGAAAUGGACGGAAGUCUGACCGAGCAACGCCGCGUGAGUGAAGAAGGUUUUCGGAUCGUAAAGCUCUGUUGUUAGAGAAGCGGUAACUAAACAGAAAGGGACGGCUAACUACGUGCCAGCAGCCGCGGUAAUUC
rnacentral:rRNA from 1 species